AAGAAAAAUUGGUGGAUUUCAAGGAAUCAAGCAAUCAAAGGUGGUGAGCCCUCUAACAAGGGUAGAGAGAUUGUGCCCGAAGACUAGGAAUAAGAGUAUAUCAAACUCCUAGUACUCUUGCUGCAGUGGGCAGAUUCUGUGGACCAGCCUAUUAGA